UACGUAGGGUGCGAGCGUUAAUCGGAAUUACUGGGCGUAAAGCGUGCGCAGGCGGUGAUGUAAGACCGAUGUGAAAUCCCCGGGCUUAACCUGGGAACUGCAUUGGUGACUGCAUCGCUCGAGUAUGGCAGAGGGGGGGUAGAAUUCCACGUGUAGCAGUGAAAUGCGUAGAGAUGUGGAGGAAUACCGAUGGCGAAGGCAGCCCCCUGGGUCAAUACUGACGCUCAUGCACGAAAGCGUGGGGAGCAAACAGG
rnacentral:rRNA from 1 species